rnacentral:pre_miRNA from 1 species
CUGACAGAAGAGAGUGAGCACACAUGGCCAAUUGUAUAACCGUAUGCCGCUGUCUGUGCGUGCUCACUCCUCUUCUUGUCAG